AACGUAGGAGGCAAGCGUUAUCCGGAUUUACUGGGCGUAAAGCGCGUGCAGGCGGUUCGGCAAGUUGGAUGUGAAAGCUCCUGGCUUAACUAGGAGAGGUCGUUCAAUACUACCGAACUUGAGGGCAUCAGAGGAAGGUGGAAUUCCCGGUGUAGUGGUGAAAUGCGUAGAUAUCGGGAGGAACACCAGUGGCGAAAGCGACCUUCUGGGAUGUUCCUGACGCUCAGAAGCGAAAGCUAGGGUAGCAAACGGG
rnacentral:rRNA from 1 species